UACGAAGGGGGCUAGCGUUGUUCGGAAUCACUGGGCGUAAAGCGCACGCAGGCGGAUUGAUAAGUCAGGGGUGAAAUCCCGGAGCUCAACUUCGGAAUUGCCUUUGAUACUGUCAAUCUCGAGUCCGGGAGAGGUGAGUGGAAUUCCUAGUGUAGAGGUGAAAUUCGUAGAUAUUAGGAAGAACACCAGUGGCGAAGGCGGCUCACUGGCCCGGUACUGACGCUCAUGUGCGAAAGCGUGGGGAGCAAACGGG
rnacentral:rRNA from 1 species